UCUUACAUCACAUAGCGCCUGCAACUCCACUAAAACCCACCACCAUCACCAUCACAACAACCACCACCGCUCAGCUAGCAGAACAAGAGAGAGACAGAGUCGGGAAAUAGCUACAGAUGUCUGAUUCCAUUCUCAAAGAAUCCGUACAGGGAAUCUGAGUAUGGGAGCGAGGAAGUAGCUGAACAUGUAAAAGAAGAAAAGAAGCGGAAACAGAUGGAAGCAAUUUCUGAGGAUUUAUUCAAUAAUGAUAAGUCCCGGAGACGUGGAGCAGCUGGUACUUCUAUUCGCGAAUUGCUUACCCGUGGUUGAUGGAGUUAAACUGACUUAACAAUGUUUCGAAGUGUAAAGUAUGGUUGAUGGAGUUAAAUUGGCUUAACAAUGUUUUGCACUUCGAAGUGUAAAGUAAGCAAGAUAAGUUUUGUUACUUGUAUCUUGUAUAGUGACUGGUCUUCUUAAAACUUGUGACAAUUACCAUCGUAAUCUAACUAGCUACAUGUACUCACAUUACCAAGUUCCCAUGUUAUCAGUUUUCAUUAUGUUAUUUCCAAAUAGACGAAAUACAAAUUCUUUC